rnacentral:rRNA from 1 species
GCCAACGGCCAUACCACGUUGAACACACCGGUUCUCGUCCGAUCACCGAAGUUAAGCAACGUCGGGCGUGGUUAGUACUUGGAUGGGUGACCGCCUGGGAAAACCGCGUGCUGUUGGCUCUC